AAAUUCUAAAUUAAAUGGGACCGACCUUCUUCUGCACGCAAAGCAAAAACCUAGCCAGCCACUUUCAUCACUCUCAAACCAUAAAUUCCAAGUAGACGCUGCGAAUCACGUUUUGUUCGAGCUUCCUCCAUUCUCAAUUUUCAGAAUCGAUUUCGAAGAGCUGCUUCGUCUUUGCUCCACCAAAAUUCUUCACCGUUGUAGUUGUACUCAGCCACUCGGAGACACCGCUAAUCGGCAUGGGUCACACUUGGCAGAGCACAACUUAAUUUUGGUGAGCCUGAUAAUGCUAUUGAAAGCUUUGACCGUGCUUUAGCUCUCAAGGUGUUCAUUCAGUUAUUUCUUUGAUUCUUGCUUUCAUUUUGGACCGUGCUGCUCAUCAUCACAGGUACAAAUGUUUGUUACCAAUGAAUAUUUUUAUUACGUGUUCAC